UACGUAGGUGGCAAGCGUUGUCCGGAUUUAUUGGGCGUAAAGCGCGCGCAGGCGGUCCUUUAAGUCUGAUGUGAAAUCUUGCGGCUCAACCGCAAGCGGUCAUUGGAAACUGGGGGACUUGAGUACAGAAGAGGAAAGCGGAAUUCCACGUGUAGCGGUGAAAUGCGUAGAGAUGUGGAGGAACACCCGUGGCGAAGGCGGCUCUCUGGGACGGUACUGACGCUGAGACGCGAAAGCGUGGGGAGCGAACAGG
rnacentral:rRNA from 1 species